AUCACUUCUUGGGCCUUUUGGCUAAGAUUAAGUGUAGAAUCUGUUCUUAUCAGUUUAAUAUCUGAUACAUCAUCUAUCUGAUGACAGCAUAUUAAAUGGAUUUUUGCACUAGAAAAUGGAAUAGGAGCUUGUUCCAUCUAUUCCAUGCAUCGACCUGGUAUCACAGUACCUCCAGGAACAGUGCACCAAAA